AGAGUUUGAUCCUGGCUCAGGACGAACGCUGGCGGCGUGCCUAACACAUGCAAGUCGAGCGGGGACAUUGCGACGGAGACGAAGUACUCGUACGGAGUCAAAGAUGUAAUGUUCUAGCGGCGGACGGGUGAGUAACGCGUGAGCAACCUGUCCCUUACAGGGGGAUAACACAGCGAAAGUUGUACUAAUACCGCAUAAGACCACAGGAUGACAUCGUCCAGGGGUCAAAGGAGCAAUCCGGUAAGGGUGGGCUCGCGUCCGAUUAGAUAGUUGGUGAGGUAACGGCCCACCCAAGUCGACGAUCGGUAGCCGACCUGAGAGGGUGAUCGGCCACAUUGGGACUGAGACACGGCCCAAACUCCUACGGGAGGCAGCAGUGGGGAAUAUUGGGCAAUGGGGAAACCCUGACCCAGCAACGCCGCGUGAGGGAAGAAGGUUUUCGGAUCGUAAACCUCUGUCCCAGGUGAAGAGUAAGAGACGGUAGCCUGGGAGGAAGCCCGGCUAACUACGUGCC
rnacentral:rRNA from 1 species